rnacentral:rRNA from 1 species
AAGCGGCGGACGGGUGAGUAACGCGUGGGUAACCUGCCCUGUACACACGGAUAACAUACCGAAAGGUAUGCUAAUACGAGAUAAAAUACUUUUAUCGCAUGGUGGAAGUAUCAAAGCUUUUGCGGUACAGGAUGGACCCGCGUCUGAUUAGCUAGUUGGUAAGGUAACGGCUUACCAAGGCGACGAUCAGUAGCCGACCUGAGAGGGUGAUCGGCCACAUUGGAACUGAGACACGGUCCAAACUCCUACGGGAGGCAGCAG